UACGGAGGAUGCAAGCGUUAUCCGGAUUCAUUGGGUUUAAAGGGUGCGCAGGCGGAGAGAUAAGUCAGUGGUGAAAAACUGCCGCUCAACGGUAGUCUUGCCAUUGAUACUGUCUUUCUUGAGUAUGGUCAAGGCAGGCGGAAUGUGUAAUGUAGCGGUGAAAUGCUUAGAUAUUACACAGAACACCGAUUGCGAAGGCAGCUUGCUGGGCCAUUACUGACGCUGAUGCACGAAAGCGUGGGGAG
rnacentral:rRNA from 1 species